rnacentral:rRNA from 1 species
GAUGGACGCUGGCGGCGUGCUUAAUACAUGCAAGUCGAACGGAGACUGUAGCAAUACUGUCUUAGUGGCGAACGGGUGAGUAACGCGUUGGUGACCUGCCCCGAAGAGGGGGAUAACAGUCCGAAAGGAUUGCUAAUACCCCAUGUGGUCGUUUGGAUUAGAUGCCUUACGACUAAACGGAUUUAUUCGCUUCGGGAGGGGCCUGCGUCCCAUCAGCUAGUUGGUAGGGUAAUAGCCUACCAAGGCGAUGACGGGUAGGGGACCUGAGAGGGUGGCCCCCCACAAUGGAACUGAAACACGGUCCAUACACCUACGGGUGGCAGCAGUAGGGAAUAUUGGUAAUCUGGGAAACCGGGAACCAGCAACGCCGCGUGCGCGAUGAAGGCCUUCGGGUUGUAAAGCGCUUUUUAAAGGGAUGAGGAAGGACAGUACCUUUAGAAUAAGCCUCGGCUAACUACGUG